rnacentral:rRNA from 1 species
UACAGAGGGUGCAAGCGUUGUUCGGAAUUACUGGGCGUAAAGCGCGUGUAGGCUGCUUGGUAAGUCGGGUGUGAAAGCCCUGAGCUCAACUCAGGAAGUGCACUCGAAACUUCCGAGCUCGAGUCCUGGAGAGGGUGGCGGAAUUCUCGGUGUAGAGGUGAAAUUCGUAGAUAUCGAGAGGAACACCGGUGGCGAAGGCGGCUACCUGGACAGUGACUGACGCUGAGACGCGAAAGCGUGGGGAGCAAACAGG